rnacentral:rRNA from 1 species
GUUGAACGCUGGCGGCACGCUUUACACAUGCAAGUCGAACGGCAGCACGGGGGCAACCCUGGUGGCGAGUGGCGAACGGGUGAGUAACGCAUCGGAACGUGCCCAGUAGUGGGGGAUAACCAGUCGAAAGAUUGGCUAAUACCGCAUACGACCUACGGGUGAAAGCGGGGGACCGUAAGGCCUCGCGCUAUUGGAGCGGCCGAUGUCCGAUUAGCUAGUUGGUGGGGUAAAGGCCCACCAAGGCGACGAUCGGUAGCUGGUCGGAGAGGACGAGCAGCCACACGGGGACUGAGACACGGCCCGGACUCCUACGGGAGGCAGCAGUGGGGAAGUUUGGACAAUGGGCGCAAGCCUGAUCCAGCCAUGCCGCGUGCGGGAAGAAGGCCUUCGGGUUGUAAACCGCUUUUGGCAGGAACGAAACGGCGCGAGCGAAUACCUCGCGCUAAUGACGGUACCUGCAGAAUAAGCACCGGCUAACUACGUGCCAGCAGCCGCCGCAGUAAAAC